CGGCGUGCCUAAUACAUGCAAGUCGAGCGAGCUUGCCUAGAUGAAUUUGGUGCUUGCACCAGAUGAAACUAGAUACAAGCGAGCGGCGGACGGGUGAGUAACACGUGGGUAACCUGCCCAAGAGACUGGGAUAACACCUGGAAACAGAUGCUAAUACCGGAUAACAACACUAGACGCAUGUCUAGAGUUUAAAAGAUGGUUCUGCUAUCACUCUUGGAUGGACCUGCGGUGCAUUAGCUAGUUGGUAAGGUAACGGCUUACCAAGGCAAUGAUGCAUAGCCGAGUUGAGAGACUGAUCGGCCACAUUGGGACUGAGACACGGCCCAAACUCCUACGGGAGGCAGCAGUAGGGAAUCUUCCACAAUGGACGCAAGUCUGAUGGAGCAACGCCGCGUGAGUGAAGAAGGGUUUCGGCUCGUAAAGCUCUGUUGGUAGUGAAGAAAGAUAGAGGUAGUAACUGGCCUUUAUUUGACGGUAAUUACUUAGAAAGUCACGGCUAACUACGUGCCAGCAGCCGC
rnacentral:rRNA from 1 species